rnacentral:rRNA from 1 species
AAUCUUCCACAAUGGACGAAAGUCUGAUGGAGCAAUGCCGCGUGAGUGAAGAAGGGUUUCGGCUCGUAAAACUCUGUUGUUAAAGAAGAACACCUUUGAGAGUAACUGUUCAAGGGUUGACGGUAUUUAACCAGAAAGCCACGGCUAAUUACGUGCCAGCAGCCGCGGUAAUACGUAGGUGGCAAGCGUUGUCCGGAUUUAUUGGGCGUAAAGCGAGCGCAGGCGGUUUUUUAAGUCUGAUGUGAAAGCCUUCGGCUUAACCGGAGAAGUGCAUCGGAAACUGGGAGACUUGAGUGCAGAAGAGGACAGUGGAACUCCAUGUGUAGCGGUGGAAUGCGUAGAUAUAUGGAAGAACACCAGUGGCGAAGGCGGCUGUCUAGUCUGUAACUGACGCUGAGGCUCGAAAGCAUGGGUAGCGAACA